rnacentral:lncRNA from 1 species
UUAUUACUCUUUGAAAUUCACAAACAUUAAGCUACAUUUUGAAUUAAUAGUUUAUUUUAUCCGUAUACGAAAAGCAACACACUUUAGCAACUUAUUUCUUUACACUUCAAAGAAUUAGGAAAAAGACCCGAUACGUCAUGGAAAUGUUGGUCACAAUAUCCAACAUUUGCCGCCAUUCCGCUCUUUAAUUUUAACUCUUUUUUAUUCUAAUCUUUAAUAUUUCUUUUUCAGGCUUCCUGUGGGAGCAAAAUUUUGGUGCACGGCGAAUCAUUUUCAGGCAAUAAUAAAUCUCUUUAGUUUGGAAUCUUGUUUCAUUCAUGGCUUGGAACUACGAUAGCAAGAAAAUUUAAUGUCGGCAUUUCACAGGGAAUUGAUAGUAGUUUGUGAUCAAUCAAAUUGCAAGAAAAGGACCGAUAUAAUGCUGCCAAUUUUCAAUCAAUCGCAGUGACUAUAAGACAAAGAAAGCACAGCUAGCAUUAUCAAUAAUUCAGAUAAAUCUAAACCAAUCAGUGGAAAAGCUGAAUAGACAGAUAAUGAACCUAAUCUCUUAAAUAUGAGACAGAAUAGCUAUGUCUUCGUGGCUCCUUUUCACGUGGAAAGCUAGACCCUAAUUCAAACAUAAAAAUCACCAUCAAUAAUAUAUCUUCCUUGGCAUCUUGCUCCAUUCGACCAUUAAAUUUAGAUAAUAAGUUAGCUAGUGACAAUGCCAAAAAAGGCUUAUCACCAUCAACAAGAGUGACGGCAAUACGAAGAAAUGCUAGGUGUAAAUAAGUGGAUUAAUGUCUACAUCUCACUUAUAAUAAAAAAUAAAUUUAAUUUUUCCGGUCAAUAAUUUUUGUUACUUUGAGUUUCAGACUUUCAGUCCACGAAAUCUGAAAAAUGAAACCCCCAAAUAACUAAUUCGGAAGCUCAAGAUUGAAAUCAAUAACUUAAAAAUAAUAAUUAUAUGCAUGCUUAUACCACGUAAUACAUAAUGUUUCUAAUUCAUUUAUUGAUAUUUUAAAUAAUCUCUUGGGUAAAUUUUCGAUUAUUCCGAAUUUAUUAUCUUUAAAUUAUUCCAUUACUAUUAAAAACUUUAAGUUAUUUUAAUUUUUAUUUAAAAAAUGAGAGGAGAGAGCUAAUUUAUAUUUGUUAAAUUAUUUUAACUAUUAACAAUAUUUUAAUAUGAUUAUUCUACUAAACAAAUUAAACUAUUUAUAUUACAUUUGUAUUUAUUAAAAUUUUUGAUGUUCAAUUGUUUUUUUGAACUCUUUAGAUAAGAAACCCUCCCUAAAUUCUCUCUCUCCGUCACCAAUCAAUCUCCCAAAGUCUGUUAUUGAUCGGCUUUAUAAAGUUAAGGUUUGUAAUGCAAAACUGAAAAUCGUUUUUUCGUCCAUUCGUUGCCCUCUCUUGCUCUUUCUAAGCGUUUUAACCAGCCAUCAACUUGGUCAAAUUAGUUGACUCAAGUGCCCACGCGAGGACUUAAAUGAUGAAACUAAUGAAUUGGGCACUUGAAAACUCUGCGUUUUGCUUUGGCUUUGAUUAAUGGCCAACAUGUUCCUGGCCUCAAUCUCAUCAACACUCCUAGUUCUCAAGAUUAUAACAAAUAUAAAGAUUAUCUCUUGUGCACUCACAUCGCUUGGAAGUCAAUCUUUUUUUCUGAUUUUUAUCAUGCGGAAAGGAAUUAACUCUCCACGUGUGUGUGAAUCAUAUCAAGUACCACUCAAAAGCCCAUAAAUCUAUCUCAUACUAAAAAUUAUAAAAUUUAUUUAACACAAAAAUUAUUUCAAUUUUUCAUAAUAAAUAUAAAUAUACUAUUAAAAUAAAUAUAAUAAUUUACAUUUUAAAAAUUAUUUCGUAUAUUAAAAAUAUUCUAAUAUCAUUAGUCUACUAAAUAAAUUAAAUUAUUUAAAUGAUAUUUAUACUUAUAAGAAAUAAAAAUAAUUACUAUCUUUUGAGGUUGUUACAAUCAACAGAAAAUUUUAGUAUUUUAUAUUAAAAAUUUAUAGGUCUACAUAAUUAUUUUUCUAAAUUUUUAGAGUGUAAAUGUCUUUUUUUUUUAUCAUGAAUUUAUCUGAAACCCUUUUUUAUUUUUUAUUUUAUCUAAUCCCAUUUAGUUUUUAGUCUUUAUCUUCUUUUUUUUUUCCUCCCUCCCUAAUAGUAGAAGCAAACUUCCGUGGUGGCAUAGCAACUGAAAGAUCAGAGUGACCAUCUUACUUCCAUCAUACCGAUGAAAGUAAGACAAAAAGUCAGUGGAUUGAUAACCCCGAAAAUGGCUCAUCAUCACCGUCAAUAAAUUUGUUAUUACAUCAUAUGGCGUUAUAAUUAACUGAACAGAAAUAUUAAUGGUGAAUUCACGUGAAAUCUGUAUUUAGAUAUCUGCACUCUGAAAAGUUCUAUACACACACUUUCUCUACCAAGGAUAUUGUCAUUUUGUUAAAGUGAGGAUGAUUAUUAAAAUAUAAAAAAAAUACAAAUAUCAAUAGAUUGAAAAUUGUAGUUUUUGUUUGUUAAUGUAUUGAAAUUUGUAUUUUUUAUUAGUUGGUAGCAUCUUUAUUUUAUCAAAGUGAGGAUAUUCUUAAUAGAGAAUGAAUAUAUAUGUGUGUGUGUGUGAAGUUUGAAACGGCUUAUAGAAUGAGACUUACCCUUCCAAACAUCUCACAUGGCUUUAAUUGGGCUUUUGGAUAUCUUCUUGGCAAUCAUUUGCUUCUUGAUUCUUCGAUAUUGUUUCAGCAAUAACAAUGGAAUCCCAAAGAACUUCCCAGUCGGAGGUAUGCUGCCACACCUUCUUCUU